rnacentral:lncRNA from 1 species
CGUGAUCCACCCGCCUCGGCCUCCCAAAGUGCUGGGAUUACAGAUAUUCCACUAUUUUUUAUCAUAAUUGUGUGGACUGACUGGAUUCAGCUGGGUGAUUUGCACUCGGAGUCUCUCGCGUGGCUGCCGUCUUCUGAAGGCUGGACGUCCCACAUGGCUUCUUUACUAAUACAUCUGGUGCUUCAGCUGGGACAGCUGGGACAGCUGGCGGCUGCACAGGCAUCUCGCUCUUUGCACACAGGCUCCCCAUAUGCUUAGUUUGAGCUUGGUGAUUUUAAAGUAGUUGAACUUAGAUGGCAGCUGGCUUCCCUCAGAGUAAAUAUGCCAAGAUACCCAGGUGGAAGCUGUAAGGUUUCUAAUGACCUAGUCUGAGAUUUCACACCAAGAUGGCUUCCGUCAUAUUCUGUUGGUCAAAAAUAAGCCACACGGUGGGGCAUGGUAGCACACACCUGUAACGCCAACACUUUGGGAGGCCAAGAAGGGUGGAUCGCUUGAGCCCAGGAGUUCGAGACCAGCCCGGGCAACAUGGUGAAACCCCGUCUCUACAAAAGAAUACAAAAAUUAGCUGGGCAUGUUGGCACACCUCUGUGGUCUCAGCUACUUGGGAGGCUGCGGUGGGAGAAUCUCCUGAGCCCAGGGAAGUUGAGGUUUCAGUAAGCCAUGAUCAUGCCACUGCACUCCAGUCUGGGUGACAGACUGAGACCCUAUCUCAAAAAAAAUAAAAGCUACAGGUCAACCCAGAUUCAAGGGGAUAGGAUUACACAAAGUCACAGAUUCAGGAAGGUAUAAUUUAUUGGGGAACCGUCUUUGGAGACUAGCUACCACAAUCUGUCACCAUCUUUUAGAUAAGACGAUCAACAUAUUUCUGAGUAUACUUUAGAUUUCCACUAUCAGUGCAUUUUCUGAAACUUCCCCAGUCUUAGCACUGAAGGUCCUGCACCCCAGGAAAUAUCUAUCAGUCUUUGUCAAACCAGGAUGGUUGGUCACCCUACUUUUAGACCUCCUCAUUUUCAUGAACUCAAUAUUGCAUAAGGUUGAUCUUCCAAAAACAUGUAUCUGCCUUAAAAUUGUGAUUUCCAUCCUGAUGAGGUCUCCUCAUAUUCCUUUGUCUUUCUGGUUUGUAUAGGAUCCACUUGACUUCAGAGCUGUAGAAAUCCAAUAAUAUGGCAGUGAUGAUGCAUUCUUUUAUUGGCCCACAGUUAUUAUUUUAAUCCAAGAUACAGCUGAACACCAUAUCUUAGAUCUAAACUCUCAUACAAUAAGCCUUAAAAUGUAACUAAUAUAAAUCUGGGAGUUCAUAUGACCCUGCCUUGGUGGGAGUGACAUAUUCAAAAAACCAACAAUUUGACAAAAAAUAUAACCUAAAAACAAUUCAAGUUGUAUUUGGACUGUGAACACCAAUACGGUAUUAGUGUUAAUACAUACAUGCUUGUUACCUUAUUACAAUAGCAUAAAAUAUCACAAAGUAGAAAGAGUUCUGGGUAGACAGGAGUCCUGCUGAGUAGCUCUGUGCCCUGGGUGGGGGUUAUGAGGAAGGGUUCCCAGGUCUGCUUCCUCCACCCUGAGGUCACCAUUAAAGUUGGAAGAUGACUUAAAAAUCAGACAGCAUCAAUCCCCUUCAAUAGUUUUCUAUGGUGUAUGUGUUCAUUAAAUUCUGGGUCAUUGAACGGUCAUGGAUAACCUUAAUCUCUCUUAGCCUCAAUGUCUACUAACAUAGUUCAUAUUCUGUUAAAGUUAUGAGCAUUCGUAUUCUAAGAUUUGUAUUGAAUAUAGAUGAUAGAUUAAAAUUUUAGUGACAAAUCUUGAUGAUUCUGUAGGAACUUUUCCAUGUGAUAAAUCUUCUUUUCAUGCUAUCUUGGCUUCAGCCCUUCAUCCAGGAACUAACGCCAGAUGCCUCUGUCCUCAUGGCAGUCACCUGGCCAUGACCAGAAUCCCAGUUUGAGUGUCUCUGCAGGGAGGAAGAAAAGGGGUGGGAAAGGAAGGAAAGACAUCACUAUUUAUCAAAUGAAUGCCUUGUCCCUGGCACUGUGCUUCCACAUAUGUUCCUGAUUAAUUGUCCCAACAACUCUGAGAGGUCGGUGUUAGUAUGUUCAGUUUCCAGAUGUGGAAACAGAGGCUUAAGGACUUGGAGUAAUUUACUCAAGAUCCCAGAGUCAGGAGAGAGGGAAGCCAAAAUUGCAACUGUCCUGCUCCAGUGUGCAUGGUCUUUUCAUGGGAGGUUUGUGCAAACAACACCAAAUCCUAAGCCUUUACUCUCAGCUUCCAAUCAUGCAGAGUAUUUCCUGACAAAUUCCUGGUAACAGCAUUAUUCUACAGCAUGCCCCGGGAGUCUUGGGAGUCAUACUUGGUUACGAGAAGUGCAAAACAAAAAUAAAACUCUAAGCGCCCCCAACCAACUGAAUGGAUCCCUCUCUUGGCCAAGAAGGAUUCCAAAAAAUACCUGAAAAACCACAUCAGCCCAUGAUGGGAAGGAGGAGUCAGACUUACCUCCUUCUACUGUCUUCCCUUUGGAGUUUAGACGUGACUGACCAACAUUAACAUUGACUCAGAGACCUUAAGACUGAAAAAACAGACUCUUUGUAGCAAUAACAUACCACAUUCCAACCUGACUCUGGUAUGGAAUCACAUGACGGAUAUCAGGCCCUGAAAGAAAUGGCAGUAUUUUAUCCCAAAAUAUAUUCCCUUGACAUAUUUUGAAAUGACCCUGAAAACCUGUCUCUUGUGGGGGAAAUUUGCUUUCUAUAGAGAAUCUUCUUCCCUUAUUAGGCCUUUUCUGGAGAGUCUGACACCUUUUAGGGUCAGACAAGAGACAUUCACUGCUUAUUCUCUCUGAAACCUGCUAUUUGGAGGCUUCAUCUACAUGACAAGAACCUUGGCUUAAGCUCCAGCUUAACUCUUUCAACCAAUUGCCAGUCAGGAAAUCUUUGAAUCCACCUAUGACCUCGAAGACCCUGCUUCGAGAAGUCCUGCCUUUCUGGGUUGACCCAAUGUAUACCUUACAUGUAUUCAUUUAUGUAUUUCCCUGGUAACUUCUGUCUCCCUAGAAGGUAUAAAACCAAGCUGU